AACGCGAAGAACCUUACCUAGCCUUGACAUGCACUGGACCGACCCUGAAAGGGGUCUUUCCCGCAAGGGACCGGUGCACAGGUGCUGCAUGGCUGUCGUCAGCUCGUGUCGUGAGAUGUUGCGUUAAGUCGCGCAACGAGCGCAACCCCUGUCCUUAGUUGCCAUCAUUAAGUUGGGCACUCUAGGGAGACAAACCCUCUUUGAGGGUGGGAAGGUGGGGAUGACGUCAAGUCAGGAUGGCCCUUACGGCUAGGGCUGCACACGUGCUACAAUGCCCGGUACAGAGGGAAGCAAUACCGCGAGGUGGAGCGAAUCCUCAAAACCGGGCCCAGUUCAGAUUGUAGUCUGCAACUCGACUACAUGAAGUUGGAAUCGCUAGUAAUGGCGCAUCAGCUACGGCGCCGUGAAUACGUUCCCGGGCCUUGUACACACCGUACGUC
rnacentral:rRNA from 1 species